CGUGAGAUAAAGCACAUCAAAUAUGGCAGCCCUUGAGGGAGUGCUCUAAAGACUCGGUGCAAGGUGUUUGGACCACAGCCUGGCCGUGGCACAACCUGAACCUUUGCCUUUGCUCUCUGUUCAUCUGUGCCACUCAAUAACUGCUGUGAGCUGGGGGAUGAUGAUUUCUCAUCAUGGAGAAAUACGUCUUUCUGAAGGAGCGGACAAGUGAAUCUUCUGUGGGAGGAAUGUUCUCAUUUCUGAACAGAAGAGCUCACAUCAAAGUAGGCGCUGUGAGGAGAGAUCUCCAAAAGAUGUUGGGGGAAGCACAAUGGACCAUGGCGUGUCCUCGUGUCCCUGCCCUCCUGCUGCUGGUGGUGGUUGGUACUGGUGUGAACACCUGGGACAUCUGUAGCUCCAGGACUGAUGGUACUCUCCAGGCUCCAGUCCUAGUCCUUAACGCUUCCAGAGCUCAGGAA
rnacentral:lncRNA from 1 species